CCUACGGGUGGCAGCAGUGAGGAAUAUUGGUCAAUGGUCGUGAGACUGAACCAGCCAAGUAGCGUGCGGGAUGACGGCCCUGUGUAUUGUAAACUGCUUUUGUGCGGGAAUAAAGUGCGUCACGUGUGAUGUUUUGUAUGUACCUCAUGAAUAAGGACCGGCUAAUUCCGUGCCAGCAGCCGCGGUAAUACGGAGGAUCCGAGCGUUAUCCGGAUUUAUUGGGUUUAAAGGGUGCGUAGGCCGGAUGUUAAGCGUGCCGUGAAAGGCCGUGGCUCAACCCUGGCACCGCGGUUGGAACUGGCAGGCUCGAGUGCGAGGGAAGUAUGCGGAAUGCGCGGUGUAGCGGUGAAAUGCUUAGAUAUCACGAAGAACUCCGAUUGCGAAGGCAGCAUACGGAAGCGACACUGACGCUGAAGCUCGAAGGCGUGGGUAUCGAACAGGAUUAGAUACCCGAGUAGUC
rnacentral:rRNA from 1 species